rnacentral:rRNA from 1 species
AUUGAACGCUGGCGGCAGGCCUAACACAUGCAAGUCGAGCGAGCGGCGGACGGAUGAGUAAUGUCUGGGAAACUGCCUGAUGGAGGGGGAUAACUACUGGAAACGGUAGCUAAUACCGCAUACCAUCAGAUGUGCCCAGAUGGGCUUAGCUGGUAGGUUGGGUAACGGCUCACCUAGGCGACGAUCCCUGGCUGGUCUGAGAGGAUGACCAGCCACACUGGAACUGAGACACGGUCCAAACUCCUACGGGAGGCAGCAGUGGGGAAUAUUGCACAAGGGGCGAAAGUCUGAGUCAGCUAUGCCGCGUGGGUGAAGAUGUCCUUCGGGUUGUAAAGCACUUUCAGCGGGGAGGCGUUACCCGCAGAAGAAGCACCGGCUAACUCCGUGCCAGCAGCCGCGGUAAUAC